rnacentral:rRNA from 1 species
GGGAGGAGCGAGCAUUAUUCGGAAUGAUUAGGCGUAAAGGGUUUGUAGGUGGUUUUUUAAGUUGAAAAAACAGAUUAAAGCUCAACUUUAUAAAUUUUUUCAAAACUGAGAAACUUGAGUAUAAAUAGAGGAUAAUGGAAUUUCUAUUGGAGGGAUAAAAUACGUUGAUAAUAGAAGGAAGGCCUAAAGCGAAGGCAAUUAUCUGGGUAUAUACUGACACUGAGAAACGAAAGCUUGGGUAGCAAACGGGAUUAGAGACCCCGGUAGUCCAUGCUGUAAACGAUGAGUGCUCAUAUUUAGAAUUUUUAGAUAUUAAGCUAACGCGUUAAGCACUCCGCCUGAAAAGUAUAAUCGCAAGAUCG